GUGUCAGCAGCCGCGGUAAUACGAGGGGUGCAAGCGUUAUUCGGAAUUACUGGGCGUAAAGGGUGCGUAGGCGGUUUGAUAAGUCCGUUGUUAAAUAUCUCGGCCUAACCGAGAGCAUGCAGUGGAUACUAUCAGACUUGAGAGUGGAAGAGAGAGGUGGAAUUCUCGGAGUAGCGGUAAAAUGCGUAGAUCUCGAGAGGAACACCGAUGGCGAAGGCAGCCUCUUGGUCCAUUUCUGACGCUGAGGCACGAAAGCGUGGGGAGCAAACAGGAUUAGAUACCCUGGUAGUCC
rnacentral:rRNA from 1 species